rnacentral:misc_RNA from 1 species
CCCCCCCGAACUCCCAGUUCGGGCGGGGCGGAAGCUGGCCUCCCGUGCGCGCCCGCGCGCGCGGUUAGCCCAAAAGCGAGUCCUCGGCGACGAGCGCCACGACAACCGGUGGUUUUUAGACCCUCGUUCCCCGUCGUGCGCGCCCCGCCGCCCGGUCUCAGGUCCCUCGCGCGUCGCCCCCGGCGGCGCUCACAACGC